rnacentral:misc_RNA from 1 species
UCCCUGCCACAUUCCUUCUAAAGUUCAACGGGGGCCAGAGUAAGACUGUCCUGGAUUGUAAUUUCCACCAUAACCGGGUCCUGAAUUACCACUGUAACUGGAAUCCGAUGUCUGUGUGUGUUCUCCACUUGAAGCAGGAUCCAACCCUUGACCUUGACCUCCAGAAAAAUUCUGUUGUCCUUGGGGGGCAUAAUCCAACCCUUGACCUUGGCCUCCAGAAAAAUUCUGUUGUCCUUGGGGGGCAUAAUCCAACCCUUGACCUUGG